rnacentral:rRNA from 1 species
UUAGAUACCCCACUAUGCUCAGCCCUAAACCUAAAUAGCCAAAACAACAAUGCUAUUCGCCAGAGUACUACUAGCAACAGCUUAAAACUCAAAGGACUUGGCGGUGCUUCACAUCCCUCUAGAGGAGCCUGUUCUGUAA